rnacentral:snRNA from 1 species
AUCGCUUCUCGGCCUUUUGGCUAAGAUCAAGUGUAGUAUCUGUUCUUAUCAGUUUAAUAUCUGAUACGUCCCCUACCCGGGGACCAUAUAUUAAAUUGAUUUUUGGAGCAGGGAGAUGGAAUAGGGGCUUGCUCCGUCCACUCCACGCAUCGACCCGGUAUUGCAGUACUUCCAGGAACGGUGCACCUUUC